GAUGGUCUAUAUAAAUAAUGGGACACUACCAUUGUUUCUCAUCAUAUUACUAGCUUAACUGCAUCUCGAGAUACAGGUCCAUAGGGCGACUUAUUUAAAAGAGAGAAGAUGCCACCACCAGGUUGGGGACCGCCGCCGGGAGGACCACCCGGAGGCCCGGGAAUUUGUGGCUGCUUUGGCUUCUUAUGUGAUGGUAUCUGCAGGGUUGUGAAUUCAUGUUGCUAUGUUCUGUGCUGCUGCUGCAUCUUUGAAAGGUGUUGUGGACCCAUGUUUGGUGGACCGGGCGGUCCUGGCGGUCCAGGCGGUCCAGGUGGUCCAGGUCGUUUCUGAUCACCGCAUGUUGACUUGUUGAUUGUUAUGAACACAAUCGUGGCCUAAAUAGUGGGAUAGAGAUUGGCGACUUUCUUCUUCUUCUUCGAGUACCUUGUAUUGUUGUUCAUUUCUACGGUUAUGUGAUAGCACAACCAGAGGUAGUUUUUAAUCGUAUUUUUACGUCUUGUAAUAAUAUUACAAUAUGGGAGUGCUGCUUUUCUUUCCUCAACUCAUGAUCACGCAUUUGUCGGUCUUGUUU